rnacentral:rRNA from 1 species
ACUCCUACGGGAGGCAGCAGUGGGAAUAUUGCGCAAUGGGCGAAAGCCUGACGCAGCCACGCCGCGUGAGCGAUGAAGGCCCUAGGGUCGUAAAGCAUCUGUGGAGGGAGAAGAAACCUGACGGUAUCCCUUAGCAAGCACCGGCUAACUCCGUGCCAGCAGCCGCGGUAAUACGGAGGGUGCAAACGUUGCUCGGGAAUCAUUGGGCGUAAAGCACAUGUAGGCGGCUGCGCAAGUUGGAUGUGAAAGCCCAGGGCUCAACCCU